UUGUCGUUAAGUGCGCGUGUCCUCCACAUGGGGGCGCAGGGUGGUUAGUGGUUGCCAUCAACGCCGAGGGCCUAGCUCCUACUACCCCAGAUCGGGGAGGGUGAGGAGGAGCAUCUAUUGAGAGAAGGAGAGGGAGAGAGACAGGGAGAGGGAGGGAGAGGGAGAGGGAGAAGGAGAGGGAGAGGGAGAGGGAGAGAGAGAGACUCGUGCGUUGGUGCUCCGCAUCGGGAGGAUGGCCUUUGG
rnacentral:lncRNA from 1 species